AUUUUGACUUGGAGUUUAGCGGCGAAAUACAAAAUAAAGUCAAUCAGAAUUUCGCUUAGAUAAAACAUUUUCGAUGAAAAAUGGUUAUGUUAUGCAGAGAGAAAGGUUAGUAUUAAAUUUAGCUAUCUUUUAAACGUUUAUGAGCUGUUCUUGUUAAGUUAUAGUUGUUGUUUGAAACGCAUGCUAUAAAAUCAUUGAAUCGACUUCUCUUCUCGUUCAAGCGCAUCGUUCUCGCCUAGUCGCUUCAUUCCCUUAGUAUUCCUCCCACAUUUUCUCAUAAUAAUGUUCAGAAAUACCCCUGCUGUGAUUUGUUUAACUUAUAUUUGUUUUAUCUGCAGUUUCAGGGCAAAAAUUUGACGAGAAAAGCUGAAAGUUGACUGAUUGAAGUCGCCGACCGGUCGAAGGCCUCGAAGCACGCGGUAAGCAUAAUGUCCAAUUGAAAGCUAAAUUAAGCUUCUCUUGUACAACUUCAACGUAUUGUAGCAUUGCUGAAGCUUUAUGAACACUUUGAGUUUAUUUUAGCUUAAAUUUUGUUCAAAAUUUGAUCUGAGCGAAAUGCCGAAUCACAUGUUCAAUCUGAGGCAUGCAUAGUUUCUUGUUUGUGGUUCGCUUUUUUAAAAGCUUAAAAGUUUUCCUUACCCAACACUGAACAUCUCGUAACAUUGUUCAAGCUUUCUACGCAUUUCGAAUUAGGUUUAGUUUAAUUUUGGUUAAAAUUUUGUCCGAAAUGCCGAACCCGUUUUUGUUUAUGUGCAAAUUGUACUCUGAGAGGAGCAGUUCGUGUUUUUUGAGGUUGUCUAAGUUGAAUUUAAUCCAAAUUUUCCGACGAAAUUCAGAGGUUAAAUGCCCUCGUGGUUCGUGUCCGCAUUCUUAUCAGUAAUAAAUAAAACUGGAAAACUUUUGAAUUGGGCAACCACACCCUAUGUAAAUGACAUUAAUUUAAAUAACUCUUUAAAACUAAACUAUUAUCCAACUUUUUAGGCUUCCUCAGUGAACACUACCGAAAGGCCUCCUGAACAGUUUCGAAGAGACGCUCGCAUAGCAGUCAGAAGCAAAACGACAAAUUAUAGACGAAUGCAAAGGGCAAAUGCAGAACGCUAUCGUAUCUCGACCCCUUUGCUUCCCACAACAUUUGUCGUCGGAUUUCGUGCCAUGUUUGAAAUAGAUGACGAAUCGCAACCGAUGCUGAUCCCAGAGGCAAACCAGAAUCCAGUCCAAGUCUGAUAGUGAUGGAGAACUGACAGUGGAUGCAACCGUCAUCAGAUUUCGUUCAGUCAGCUAAUUGUGAAUAGGAUGCAAAGAGCUGUAAGGCUACAACCAAAGCUGUGCCAUCCAUGCAGAGAUCCUAACCAAUGCGUCACACCAUGUCUUAGACUGAAGGAUAAGAAGUCGUUGAAGAAAGACGCCAUAAUUACAGGUAUAUUUUUAUCUGUGAUUUGUAUUAAUGAAUUUAUUUACUGUAACACACUGUAUCAAAGUAAAUAUUUGAUGAUGGUCAAUGCAGAGGUCAAUGAUGCUGGUCAAUGCAGAGGUCAUAGAAUCUAUUAUUUCUAGAUAUCUAUAGAUAUCUAUAGAUAUAAUAGAUAUCUAUUAUUUCUAUGGCAGAGGUUCAGAUCCAUUACCUGACUACUCCUCCUCUCGCAGACUUAAUGCGCAUUUGAUUGGUUCAUCAGCUAUAUUAAAUGCAACUGAUUAGCUAAUGCAUGGUCGCUACCAUGUUGUGGAAAUAAAAAUCUGAACCUCUCGAGUAUAUCAGAAUGUUGACAAUCGAGGAGCAAGCAAACAAAGUACUUUGCUACCAAAUAUACUACUGUAUAUAAUGAAAAGAAUUCGCGUCAUUUUGCCUGCUGGUUGACCAGCCAUCUCAUGCGUGAGGAAUAAUUGUCUGGAUGUGUCACUUAUGUGUUCUCUUAUUUCUUUUAUUUCAGAUUCUCGUUGGUCGUGUUCCAAAGUACGUGGGGCCACCCUGAGGACGCCCAAAUGCACAAAAAAUUUAAACAUGGCACAUUUUCCUCAAUUUCGCAACUUAUUCAAAUUUUUCACAUUUCAUUGUAUUUGUAAAAAGCUCUUAACGAAAUCGAAAUGUUUGAAAUUCGGAAGGUUUUGUCUGAGAGUUUGUUUAUUUGAAAAAUAUUUGAAAUGAAAUUUUGAAGUUUACAUCACUUUGGUAUUUGGUCUAAACGCUAGGUAAAAUCAUGCCAGAUGAGUGGCCGGCCAUUCGUCGAGGUUCGGUGAUACUUCGGCUCGGACUUUCCCGACCUACAGUCGAGUUGCCCUGAUUGAUUGUCGUGAUCAACUAGCACAAAUGUAAGUACUGGCCACACUUACAUCUGUGCUUUUUGUUCGUGGCAUGAGAUCCGGGUAGCUCGCCUGUAGGCCUGGAAAGAUCGAGCCAAAAUACCACCAAACUUUGAUUUGUGGCCAGUUUUUUGUCUGUAUGGCUUUAUCCAGCGUUUUCCCGUUAUCAUUUUGAUAUAGACUUUGGGAUUUCGGUUUGGAUAUUUUUAAUGUAAACAUUCUUUGAGGUUUAAUCUUUCAUGAAUUUCAUAAUUUUUGACUAGUUAAUUGUGUUUCUCGCAGAUACCAUAAUUGUAUUUAAAAAUGUUGACCAAAAAAUUUCAACCUAACUAAAACGUCAUUUGAGGUGCCGGACUGGAGGCCCAUUGGUAUUGGUGGCGGAUAUCGAUGGAUAAAUAAGGAUUAUCGUGUACUACCAAAUGUGAAUACUGUGAAUAUUUAUGGACAUAAACACUAAUGGAUUACUGUGAACACUUACGGAUCAUUAUGAACAUUUGUGGAUAAAACAUAUUCGACGAUCGACGGUUACCUUCCAAUGUACCUUCAACAGAACUGCGCAACGGUAACAAGACGACUGCCUCAAGGUUAGAUUAUUAGUCUGAUAACAGGCAGUAUUAAGCCUGUUAUCAGGCAGCUGUAGUUAGCCUGCUAUCAGGCAGUAGUUGGCCUGCUAUCAGGCAGUAGUUGACCUGCUAACAGGUAGUAUAUCGGUAGGAUUCGUACCCAGGACUCUAAUUUGCAUGUGUUCGUUGAAAUCUCUGAGUUAAAUUAAUACAAAAUUCCUGGCGGUCUAUAGUUAGCAGUACAUUUGCACGCAAGGUUGAUUUUUAUUCAGAUACUUGCAUGCUAAUAAAAUUGAGGUAAAAUUUCGGUAAUAUCUGCAAUCAAAAGUCAAUCUUAAAGAGGAUAACAUUUGAGCUUUCGGUCACGUGGUUGUUGCAUGCACUCGGUUCGGUUGUUGGUGAGUUUCAGUAAGUGUUGCAGUCCAGAUGAAGGUCAACUGAGUGAAUGUUGACACUUGUAAGAGCAAUUUAUUUUGUUCCAAAAUUUAAUUUUUGAUCCAAAUCACAAGACUACUCAUAAAAUAAAAAAAGGUGAACAUUAUUUUUCACUCUAGUAACUCGUAUUGAAACCCACUAGAUAUUCGCGGUCUAUUCGUGCCAAUGUGCUCCUCUUUGUGUAAAUGUACUGCUUAGGUGUCUGUGCAUGGAUAAACGCAGCGCGCAGCUAGUAUUUAGAAUAGACAGACAAGUAAAACCUUGCCAGGCUUAAAUAUUUUGCAUGUAUAUAUCUCCGUAUGUUGGGUUAACGAAUAUGGU
rnacentral:lncRNA from 1 species